rnacentral:lncRNA from 1 species
CUUCCUGGUUUAGUCUCUGACAAAAAUUAUUCACCUCUCUGGGUUUCAACUGCUUCAUUGAUAACCAAUCACUUUUUUUUUUUUGUAGAGAAAUGUGUUACUUAAUUCUAUUUAAAUUUUCCAAUUUGUGUGUGGAUAUUUUUUCUAAAUCUCAUAUGAGGUCUAGGCUCAGUAUGUAAACUAAUGUUAAUUGUCCGUACUCCUGAGAAAAACAUAAUCAGGUCAGUUAAGUUCACUGAAGAAAGUCCAUGCGAAUUAUUCAAUCAUUUGUUUAGUGGAUAAUUAAGGCUUGACCUGUGUGCAAGUCCCCAGAACUCUAAGUGCAGUUAAACACCACCUCCUGGGAGAAGCAUCACGUUACAGGAAGGAAAUAGAGUAGCAAUAAAAAGUAAUGCAUGGUGGAUGGUGGUGAUGUUUGCACAAUGGGAAUGUACCUGAGGAACUUUGAUACAAGACAAUUAAGAUAAAUAAAGUAGUAAACCUGUAACCAAGGUUCAUGCCAAUAAAAAGCAGGUGGGGUACAAAUUUAUCUGUACAUCACCCUUAAUACAUUGAGAAGCUGUCCCAAAGUGCAAAAUGUGAAAGUGCAGAUGAAUUGAUGAAUUGGGAGUGGUUCAGAUGUGGACUAGUGCUAAAGCAAAAUAAAACCAUUACAUAAGCACCUUCAACUCUUGUCAUUGUCCAAAGAUCCCCUGUGAUUAUCUCAUCUGUCUGUCAGUUCCUCACAUACGACACACAUUUAUCUGUCUUCUCCCCACUCGAGUGCCAUUCUGCAGUCACCCUAAGCAAACUAAAAUCAUGUUCAACAAAAUCAUCUUCCACAAUGUUCCAAAGGUGACCUGCUCUCAAUCUCAUCAUCACCAUCAGUCAUUCACAACUUGCAGAUUAUGGGUAUCUUGCAUUUGUGGGUGUCUCUGACCCAUCCUAAUCUUGCUGGGUCUACUCAAGUAGCUGUUGUUGUCUCUUUUGACCUUAUAGACACUCUGGAUUUAUAAGCCUGGUACAGGAAGUAAAGGGAGGUGUGUUACCAGAUUGUGUUAGAGAGAGAGGGAGAAUUGGUGGGUAUCUUGAGGAAGCUCACAAGGUCACAAGUUGGAGCAUAAAGCUUUCAUACUUAGGCUUCCAUCAAUCCCUAGGCCAUUCUGCUCCUCUGGGGUUGACACAAAUGGCCAUUGUGCAAAUCUAUUCUUCUCUUCCGGUUACCUACAUCAAAUCUUCUCCAGAAGCUUUCAAAGUCUCACUCCACCCCUAAACCUUAGAGUAUAAUCAAUUAGGCUAGUAGGCUUAUAUUCUCUGCUUUUCUCUGUCAAAGUACUGAAAGAGCCAGAGAAGUCUUAUUUCUCUCGUGUAUUCUCACCUCCAAAGCUUAUUAUAGUGCUAUAUUGUGCCAAUAGAAUACCUUGAUAUUUUUUAAAGAACAAAUUAAAAUGUUAGACAUCUAG